UACGAAGGGGGGCUAGCGUUGCUCGGAAUCACUGGGCGUAAAGCGCACGUAGGCGGCUUCUUAAGUCAGGGGUGAAAGUCCUGGGCUCAACCUGGGAACUGCGCUUGAUACGGCAGAGCUAGAGGAUGGAAGAGGCUCGCGGAAUUCCCAGUGUAGAGGUGAAAUUCGUAGAUAUUGGGAAGAACACCGGUGGCGAAGGCGGCGAGCUGGUCCAUUACUGACGCUGAGGCGCGACAGCGUGGGGGAGCAAACAGGAUUACGAA
rnacentral:rRNA from 1 species